CAAAAUUUGGGUCGAUCCACCCACCUCUAGCUAAAAGCUUUUGUAACAGCGAUGGCGCCGAAAGCAGGUCGUCGAGGGAGGAAGCGCAAAGCGGAGGCAGAGGAGCAGCAAACACCAGCAGGGAAGAAGAAGGAGCGAGGAGAGGAGGAAGGCAAAAGAGUGGUCAUUGAACACUGUAAAAGCUGACGAGUGUAUAGGCAUAAUGCUGAGGAGGUGAAAUCUGCCCUCCUGGCUGC